CAAACGACUCUCGGUAACGGAUAUCUCGGCUCAUGCAUCGAUGAAGAACGUAGCAAAAUGCGAUACUUGGUGUGAAUUGCAGAAUCCCGUGAACCAUCGAGUUUUUGAACGCAAGUUGCGCCCGAAGCCUUCUGGCCGAGGGCACGUCUGCCUGGGCGUCACAC
rnacentral:rRNA from 1 species